AGGCGAUGAUUGCAUUGAACAAGUUGCAGACAAGACCUUUUAUGAAAACAGCGUUCUAAUUUGGUAUAUAAUUGUUACAUCAAUUGCUUGAACGUUUCAAUUAAAAUGCCUUAUUCUUUUUAGAAAGAACGACGUAAUUAUAUUCACAGUGAAUUCUGGUGUGAGUACCCAUCUUCAAUUUCAAGAAAAAGAAUUAAUUGAAGCCUUCAAGUGCCGUGGAUUGACUUCAAGCUUUGAGGACGAAUGGACAAGAACGCAAGCGUAGCUGUGUCAUAUUGGUCAACAUAUUAUAACCAAACCGUACUUUGUUUAAAGGACAACUAGGCAAUGAAAUAAUUCAACUCUGUUGAGAUUGAACGAACUCGUUAAAGUGCCUAUGAC
rnacentral:lncRNA from 1 species